ensembl:snRNA U6 U6 spliceosomal RNA
GUUACUUUGUGCUCACCUAUAUUAAAAUAGGGGCGAUGCAGAGAAUGUUAUCAUGACCCCUGCGCAAUGAUGACACACAAAUUCAUGAUGAGAAGCUGUCUGUC